AUUGAACGCUGGCGGCAUGCUUUACACAUGCAAGUCGAACGGUAACAGGCCGCAAGGUUCUGACGAGUGGCGAACGGGUGAGUAAUGCAUCGGAACGUGCCCAGUCGUGGGGGAUAACUACUCGAAAGAGUAGCUAAUACCGCAUACGAUCUAUGGAUGAAAGCGGGGGACCGUAAGGCCUCGCUCGAUUGGAGCGGCCGAUGUCAGAUUAGGUAGUUGGUGGGGUAAAGGCUCACCAAGCCAACGAUCUGUAGCUGGUCUGAGAGGACGACCAGCCACACUGGGACUGAGACACGGCCCAGACUCCUACGGGAGGCAGCAGUGGGGAAUUUUGGACAAUGGGCGCAAGCCUGAUCCAGCAAUGCCGCGUGCAGGAAGAAGGCCUUCGGGUUGUAAACUGCUUUUGUACGGAACGAAACGGCUCUGGUUAAUACCCGGGGCUAAUGACGGUACCGUAAGAAUAAGCACCGGCUAACUACGUG
rnacentral:rRNA from 1 species